UUUUUAUAGUUAUAAUUAUAAAUAACACCUGCUCAAUGAAAAUUAAAUGGCGGCGUAAGUCCUAAGGUAGCAUAAUCAUUAGCCUCUUAAUUAGGGGAUAGUAUGAAAGGUAGUACGAAUAAAAUUAAGUUUUAAAUCUAAUGUUAUAAAUUAAUAAACAAGUUAAAAAUCUUGUUUUCUGUUUAGGGACAAGAAGACCCUAUAAAGUUUAUUUACCUAAAUAUUUAUAAUGUUUGAAGGUAGUUUUAUUGGGGCAAUACCUUAAGAUAAGAUUUUAAGGAUGAUGUUUUUUCUAAAAAUGUGUUGAUCCAUUAUUAGUGAGCAAUUAGUUAAGUUACUUUAGGGAUAACAGCAUAAUUAGAAUUUUAAAGUUCACAUUUACAAUUUUGGUUGUGACCUCGAUGUUGGAUUAAUACCCUUGAUGGUGAAGAUGCUAUCACUUGGAAGUCUGUUCGACUUUCUAAUUAAUUACA
rnacentral:rRNA from 1 species